GAUGAACGCUAGCGGCAGGCCUAACACAUGCAAGUCGAGGGAGAAGCCCUUCGGGGCAGAAACCGGCGCACGGGUGCGUAACGCGUAUGCAACCUACCUUUCACAGGGGGAUAGCCCGAAGAAAUUUGGAUUAAUACCCCAUAAUAUUAUUGGAUGGCAUCAUUUGAUAAUUAAAAUUACGAUGGUGAAAGAUGGGCAUGCGUCCUAUUAGCUAGUUGGAGUGGUAACGGCACCCCAAGGCUACGAUAGGUAGGGGUCCUGAGAGGGAGAUCCCCCACACUGGUACUGAGACAGGGACCAGACUCCUACGGGAGGCAGCAGUGAGGAAUAUUGGUCAAUGGUCGGAAGACUGAACCAGCCAUGCCGCGUGCAGGAAGAAUGCCUUAUGGGUUGUAAACUGCUUUUAUAUGGGAAGAAUAAGGAGUACGUGUACUUUGAUGACGGUACCAUAUGAAUAAAGCUCGG
rnacentral:rRNA from 1 species